GACGAACGCGGGCGGCGUGCCUAAUACAUGCAAGUAGAACGCUGAAGGAGGAGCUUGCUCUUCUGGAUGAGUUGCGAACGGGUGAGUAACGCGCAGGUAACCUGCCUGGUAGCGGGGGAUAACUAUUGGAAACGAUAGCUAAUACCGCAUAACAUUGACUAUUGCAUGAUAGUCAAUUGAAAGGUGCAAAUGCACCACUACCAGAUGGACCUGCGUUGUAUUAGCUAGUUGGUGGGGUAACGGCUCACCAAGGCGACGAUACAUAGCCGACCUGAGAGGGUGAUCGGCCACACUGGGACUGAGACACGGCCCAGACUCCUACGGGAGGCAGCAGUAGGGAACCUUCGGCAAUGGACGGAAGUCUGACCGAGCAACGCCGCUGAGUGAAGAAGGUUUUCGGAUCGUAAAGCUCUGUUGUAAGAGAAGAAACGAGUGUGAGAAGUGGAAAAUUCACAACU
rnacentral:rRNA from 1 species